CAGGCGAAAUACCGAGGCUUCCA
rnacentral:siRNA from 1 species